GGGACCAGCAGCUUCAUGUGAAGGGAAGCGUCUGUUCCCCAUAAAACGCUUCCAAAUUCUCCCAUUCAAGUCAGUAGCUGGGGUCCUGUGGAGCCUGUGAUCUACAGCUGCAGCUCAAACUACAGUUUUCCACAAGCAGUGCAUGCUCGUUCUCGGACUUGCCCUGAGGCCUGGCGUUUCAGUAUCUCCAGGUGGAUGGGGUUCUGUCGGAGUCCCUGAUCUACAGCUGCACUCAAUCUGUGGUUCAUUAUGGUGACAUUUCCUGUUCCCGGGACUCACCAACUAGCCAUUUUUGGAUAUCCCAAAGGCGCGGCCAAGAAGAUGAGCAUGCCUUUGGGGUCCCGAGGCUUUGCAGCCCUGUGGACAAGCCUAUUCUAAACCACCAACUGAAGUGACACAGGAGGAAACGGAAUAUCAGGGACAGUGGAUCAGCUGUCAGAGAGGUGUGGUUCGUCCAUCGCCGUCAUUGAUGAAGACCUCAACACCAUUGAUGGUGUCAAGACUAGCGCAUGAUUUGGAUUUAAGUGAGGGAGAGUUGCGCAGCGUCAGCCUCACUCUCUCUUCCCAAUUCCCAUCUGGAUCCAGUGGCAAGACAGAGUUGAGACAGCUGGAGAUGGGACUAGGCGCAAUGGAUAACCAGGACAUCUUCUGUGUCUUGUCCUGCUCUACACGUUCCACGAUGCUUGCAGAAACCGCCUUCUUGACCGUUGGACCUUCCAUUGGUCUUGUCCGCUCAAUCCACUGGAGUCUGUCUUCACAUGCUGGGACAUGUACAAGAUAAUGAGAAGCAUUGAUCAUGUGGAUAGUCAGAGGCUUUUCCCCAGGGCUGAAAUGGCUAGCAUGAGAGGACAUAGUUUUAAGGUGCUUGGAAGUAGGUACAGAGGAGAUGUCAGGGGUAAGCGGUGAGUGUGUGGAAUGGGCUGCCGGCAGCGGUGGAAACGAUAGGGUCUUUUAAGAGACUCCUGGAUGGGUACAUGGAGCUUAGAAAAAUAGAGGGCAAUGGGUAAAGCCUAGGUAAGUUCUAAGGUAAGGACAUGUUUGGCACAGCUUUGUGGGCCGAAGGGCCUGUAUUGUGCUGUAGGUUUUCUAUAUCUUGUUUUUCAUUUGAUCAUUCUGAUUCUCACAAGAUCUUUUGUUCUUUGCAACUCUCUUUGCUUUUUUUUGUUGCCAUAUUUGCUUAAAAUCUAUAUUUCAUUAGGAGUUUGAGGUUUGUUGCCGAAAACGCUCGAAAAUUUCUAGAGAUGUACCAAUAGCAGCAGCUCCUCUCUCAGAUCCAAACACCCACAAAUUCCUACAGGAGUACCAUGGAGAGCAUUCUAAGUAGCUGCAUCACCAUCUGGUAUGGGGGGCAGGGGACUACUGCACAGGGUUGAAAUAAGCUGCAGAGAGUUGUAAACUUAGUCCGCUCCAUCAUGGGCACCAGCCUCUCCUGCAUCGAGGAUAUCUUCAAAAGGUGUCAUCCAUCAUAAAGGACCCAAAUUACCCAGGUCAUUCCCUCUUCUCAUUGUUACCAUCAGGUAGGAGGUACACGAGCAUGACGACACACAGUCAACAUUUCAGGUACAACUUCCUCCUGAUUUCUGAAAGGACAUUGAACCCAUGUACACUAUCUCACUCCUAUUUUUUUUUGCACCACUAAUUUAAUAUUGAUAUACAGUAUAUAUA